rnacentral:rRNA from 1 species
CACGGGUGAGUAACACGUAUCCAACCUGCCGUCUACUCUUGGACAGCCUUCUGAAAGGAAGAUUAAUACAAGAUGGCAUCAUGAGUCCGCAUGUUCACAUGAUUAAAGGUAUUCCGGUAGACGAUGGGGAUGCGUUCCAUUAGAUAGUAGGCGGGGUAACGGCCCACCUAGUCUUCGAUGGAUGGGGGUUCUGAGAGGAAGGUCCUCCACAUUGGAACUGAGACACGGUCCAAACUCCUACGGGAGGCAGCAUG